rnacentral:lncRNA from 1 species
GGGUAUGUUUCAGCAAUCCUUGUACCCGUUUACCCAUGGGUGAAAAAUACCCGGCCCAAAACUAAAUAAGCCCACCAGCCCAUGUAAAACCCUAGGUUCCUAGUUUCCCACCCGCCUGGCGCCCUGGCCGCUGGAGCGCUCGACGCCUGGCCUCCCGCCGCCGAAAAAAACAGGCGCGUCAUUUAUCCUCUGCGCUGGCAUCGCAAUCGCCACUCGCCAACAAAAAAAGAACGCCGCCGCCGCAAAAAAACAACGUCGCCCGCUCGCCCCUCGUGACCUCGUCUCGGCGUCUCGCGUAUUCACAUCGGAUCCAAGCACCAGGAACUUGCCACGCCAUGCCGGCGACGGAGCAACUCGAGUAAGAACGGUGAUUGCCCAGUUCCUCUUCCCCU